rnacentral:rRNA from 1 species
UACGUAGGGUGCGAGCGUUAAUCGGAAUUACUGGGCGUAAAGCGUGCGCAGGCGGCUUUGCAAGACAGAUGUGAAAUCCCCGGGCUCAACCUGGGAACUGCAUUUGUGACUGCAAGGCUAGAGUACGGCAGAGGGGGAUGGAAUUCCGCGUGUAGCAGUGAAAUGCGUAGAUAUGCGGAGGAACACUAAUGGCGAAGGCAAUCCCCUGGGCCUGUACUGACGCUCAUGCACGAAAGCGUGGGGAGCGAACAGG